GACGAACGCUGGCGGCGUGCCUAAUACAUGCAAGUUGAGCGAUGAAGAUUGGUGCUUGCACCAAUUUGAAGAGCAGCGAACGGGUGAGUAACGCGUGGGGAAUCUGCCUUUGAGCGGGGGACAACAUUUGGAAACGAAUGCUAAUACCGCAUAAUAACUUUAAACAUAAGUUUUAAGUUUGAAAGAUGCAAUUGCAUCACUCAAAGAUGAUCCCGCGUUGUAUUAGCUAGUUGGUGAGGUAAAGGCUCACCAAGGCGAUGAUACAUAGCCGACCUGAGAGGGUGAUCGGCCACAUUGGGACUGAGACACGGCCCAAACUCCUACGGGAGGCAGCAGUAGGGAAUCUUCGGCAAUGGACGAAAGUCUGACCGAGCAACGCCGCGUGAGUGAAGAAGGUUUUCGGAUCGUAAAACUCUGUUGGUAGAGAAGAACGUUGGUGAGAGUGGGAAGCUCAUCAAGUGACGGUAACUACCCAGAAAGGGACGGCUAACUACGUG
rnacentral:rRNA from 1 species